GGCCUGUAUGCAUAUUAAUGUGUAUUAGAAACUGAAAGAUACACCAAAAAUAAAAGAAAUGAAUGAAUUUGUAAUAACUUAAAGUUAGAUGAUGAAUUCCAUUUUUUUUAUUAUCUGAAAAUAAGAAUGUGUCCCUAUAGUACACGGUAGUCAUAACAAUUAUAUGUAACGCCUUGAAAUGAUUAAUUAAUUAUAUUUAUUUUUGCUUUGGCGUCUUCGCUGUAAAGAUUUAAGGGAACGACCAUUUCACUUCAAGGGAGCGAAAGGGGGAUAUUUUUUUUUUCUAAAAAAAUAUUCUGAUACCAAAAUAUUCUGGUCAAGCAGUUGACCCUUUUUUUCAUUCUGUAUGUAUAUUCCCCUAUAUAUUAUAGUGUUAAAUUAAAAAAAAAAUUGAUAGUGUCGAAAAACUAAAUAAAUUUGUUCAAGCCAUGUCAGAAAAAUAUUUUCUGACUUAAGAAAAUAAACCAUAGUUAACCCAUCUUCUUACCCCAUGCACUCCCAAUAAUGUUCCUGAUUUUACAACUUUAUGUGUGUUCCCUUCUCCUCGUAUAUUAUGAUGUUCCUUUGUUUUAAUUUUUGAUAGUGUUCCCUUCUCCUUAUUUCAUAUUGAUCCUAAUUUUUCAAUUUUAUCUUGUUCCCUUAUCAUUGUAGAGUAGGUUGGCUCUAAGUUUCAUGUGUAUGUGGAUACUCUUCCCCUUGCAGUUGAUAUUGUUCUUCAGUUACAUUUUAAUGUGUGUUACUGUUCCCUUGUAGUUGAUGUUGUUCCCUAGUUUUUAUUUUGAUGUGUGUUCCCAUCCUCUUGUAGUUUAUGAUUUAAAUGUGUUCUCAUUUUUAAUACUGUUCCUUUCUUCAUGGUGUUUAUUAUGUUCCUAUUUUUCAUUUGUAUGAUGAGUGUUCCCUCCCACUUUAAGUUUAUGAUGUUUCUAUGUUUUCAAUGUUAUGUGUGUUUUUUUUCCCUUGAUUAUGAUGUAUAAUUUUUCAUUUCUAUAUCUGUUCCCUUCUCCUUGUAGUUUAUGUUGGCCCUUUGUUUUCAUUUUGAUGUGUGUGUUCCCUCCCCAUGUAGUUUAUGAUGUUUCUAUGCUUUAAUUUUAUGUGUGUUCCUUUCCCCUUGCCUUUGAUCAUGUUCCUAUGUUUUUAUUAUGUAUGUUCCUUUCCCCAUGUAGUUUAUGAUGUUUCUAAGUUUAUGUGUGUGUUCCCUCUCCAUGUAGUUUAUAAUGUUUCUUUGUUUUAAUUUUUAUGUGUGUGUUCCCUCCCCAGGUAGUUUAUGAUGUUUCUAAGUUUUCAUGUUUAUGUGUGUAUCCUUCCCCUUGCAGUUUUUAAUGAUCUUAUGUUUAUAUGUGUGUUCUCAUCCCCAUGUUGUUUAUGAUGUUCCUAUUUUUUCAUUGUAAGAUGAGUAUUCUCUCCCCGGUGUAGUUAAUGAUGUUUAUGUAUUCCUGUUUAAGUUUGUAGUUUAAGUGGUUCCCUAGUUUCUUUUCCAUUACAGUUGAUGUUAUUCCUAUGUUUUCGUUUUUAUUUGUGUGUCAUACCAAAUUAGUUUAUGAUGUUUCUAUGCUUUCAUUUUUAUGUGUGUCCCCUUCCACUUGCCGCUGGUCAUGGUUCCAUGUAUUUUAUGAUGUUUUUAAAUUUUCAUGUUUAUGAAUGUGUUCCCUCCCCAGGUAGUUUAUGAUGUUUCUAUGUUUUCAUUUUUUGUGUGUUCCGUUCCACUUGUAGUCUGUUAUGAUCCCAUGUGUGUGUUCACUCCCCCGUGUUGUUUAUGAUAUUCAUAUGUUUUCACUGUAAGAUGAAUGUUUUCUCCCCCAUGUAGUUUAUGAUGUUUAUGUAUUCCGGUUUAAGUUUCAAGUUUAGGCAGUUCUCAAGUUUCCUUCUAUUACAGUUGAUGUUAUUCCUAUGUUUUUGUUUUUAUGUGUGUUCCCUUCCACUUGUAGUUGAUAAUGUUCCUGAUUUUACACUUUUAUGUGUGCUCCAUUUUCUUGUAGUUUAUGAUGUUCCUAUGUUUUCAUUUGUAUGAUUAAAAUUCCCUCCCCUUGUUGUUAAUGAUGUUCCUAUGUUUUCAUUUGUAUGAUGAGUAUUCCCUCCCCUUGUUGUAAAUGAUGUUUCUGUGUUUUCAUUUGUAUGACGAGUAUUCCCUCCCCUUAUAGUUAGGGAUGUUCCUAUGUUUUCAUUUGUGUGCUGAGUAUUCCUUCUCCUUGUAGUUAGGGAUGUUCCUAUGUUUUCAUUUGUAUGAUGAGUAUUCCCUUUCCUUGUUGUUAGGGAUGUUUCUUUGUUUUCAUUUGUAUGAUGAGUAUUCCCUCUCCUUGUUGUUAGGGAUGUUUCUUUGUUUUCAUUUGUAUGAUGAGUAUUCCCUCUCCUUGUUGUUAGGGAUGUUACUAUGUUUUCAUUUGUAUGCUGAGUAUUCUUUUUCCUUGUUGUAAAUUAUGUUCCUUUGUUUUUAUUUUUAUGAUGAGGAUUCCCUCCCCUUGUAGUUAGGGAUGUUGCUAUGUUUUCAUUUGUAUGAUGAAUAUUCCCUCUCCUUGUAGUUAGGGAUGUUCCUAUGUUUUCAUUUGUAUGCUGAGUAUUCUUUCGCCUUGUUGUAAAUUAUGUUCCUAUGUUUUUAUUUUUAUGAUGAGGAUUCCCUCCCCUUGUUGAUAAUGAUGUUUGUUUGAUGAGUAUUCCCUCCUCUUGUUGUUAAUGGUGUUCGUUUGAUGAGUAUUCCCUUCCCUUGUUGUUAAUGAUUUUCCUAUGUUUUCAUUUUUAUGAUGAGUAUCCCCUCUCCUUGUUGUUAGUGGUGUUGCUAUGUUUUCAUUGGUAUGAUGAGUAGUCCCUCCCCUUGUUGUUUAUGAUGCUCCUAUGUUUUCAUUUGUAUGAUGAGUAUUCCCUUCCCUUGUAGUUAGGGAUGUUCCUAUGUUUUCAUUUGUAUGAUGAGUAUUCUCUCUCCUUGUUGUUAGGGAUGUUCCUAUGUUUUUAUUUGUAUGACGAGUAUUCCCUCCCCUUGUAGUUAGGUAUGUUCCUAUGUUAUCAUUUGUAUGAUGCGUAUUCCCUCCCUAUUAGUUAGGGAUGUUCCUAUGUUUUCAUUUGUAUAUGAGUAUUCCCUCCCCUUGUAGUUAGGGAUGUUCCUAUGUUUUUAUUUGUAUGACGAGUAUUCCCUCUCCUUGUAGUUAGGUAUGUUCCUAUGUUUUCAUUUGUAUGUGGACUAUUCCCUCCCGUUGUUGUUAGGGAUGUUCCUAUGUUUUUAUUUGUAUGAUGAGUAUUCCCUCCCCUUGUAGUUAGGGAUGUUCCUAUGUUUUCAUUUGUAUGAUGAGUAUUCCCUUCCCUUGAAGUUAGGGAUGUUCCUAUGUUUUCAUUUGUAUGAUGAGUAUUCCCUCCUCUUGUAGUUAGG
rnacentral:lncRNA from 1 species